UUCAUCUAAACCCCGCCUCCAGCAGCUCGGGUCUCGGAAAGAGAUCGGAAACGGUGUGUUUUGCCCUCAAACAAAGAACGAAAAAAGAGAAGUCCCCCCCCCGACCUGGAUCUUUAUCAGAGCAUCAGAGAUCAGUGGAGGGUGUAAGAAAGAGUGUGUUAGUGUGAACAGACCCUCCGGCUCUCACCUGCUCUAGUCAUUUGCAGGAGGUCUUUGCUCAUGGAGAUGAUUUUGGAAAUAAUGGAAGCAGCAGCAGUGUUUGGCACCUAUACCUUCAAGUUUACGCUUCAAAUCUAUUUCAGUGUAGACGAUGUAUCACAAAGACAUAGAGGGGGCCAUUCUUUCGUGCCAUUUCUUUGUGUAUCAUUCAUAAAGCUUGCGUACGCUCAGAUGUUAGCGUGCAUUUGACGUGAAAAAGUGUUUAACGUCACGUCAGGGUCGUUACGCUGGUCUAAAUUAUGAUGAUUGGUGACAUUUUAUUUGUUAGUGACAUUAAUUAGGAGUAAUUUGCAAGGCAGAGAGCUGAAACCAUCAAUUUCCGUUCAAGUUCUAGAUCAUUUGCCGUUCAUAGACAGAGACCAUUCUGUGAAUCGCACGCGCGCCGAGUAUACGAUCAAGUUUAGGCUGGUUUCUGCACAACCUUUUUAUAAAUGAGGCCCCUGCAAUUAAAUACAACAUAUUUCAAAACCAUUUUAGAAUAUAUUGUGUGUGUGUGUGUGUGUGUGUGUGUGUGUGUGUGCGUACAGAGAGCCUAGAGGUCAGAAGGGGAGUAUGAAACUCAUCCCUAAGUGCCUCUGGCCCUAAAAUGUGAUUAUUAUUUAUUUUUUUAGGUUUUUGGAAUCAACUCUGAACAUCACAAAACAAGCAAAACAUUUUUGCUAUAGUUCAUGCUGCAAUGCAUGACGAGAGCCAUGGAUGUGUUUUGGUUGAUUGGCUGCAACAUGCUUUUUUGAUGGUCACCACUGUUGUGACUCUCAAGCUGAUUCUUGAUGUCUGUGGCACCAACAGUGGUGUAAUCAGCUCAAUCUUGCCCCCUUGUGGUUUGUUAUCACUGAAAUAUAAGGAGACAAUAUUAAUUAUUAAACAAUGCAAAAGUUGUUGUUAAUGCCGUUUCAUAAUCAAUAAUAAUAACACAAAUCAAACCAAAUUUGCUUUGUCAUUUUAUUUUUAGGGUCCAAUAACAAAUUGAAAAAAAGAUGAUGGAACCUGAUAUUUGUACUGAUUUUCUAAAAACAGCAGCAAGAUUGACCAAAGUGCUGUAUAAAAGGCCACAGUAAAAAUAAAAUUCAUGGACAUGUAAAAGACACAAAAAUCCACAAUAAAUAUCCAGUUAACGUUAAGUGUACGAUCAGAACCUUCUUACAGUCCCUCGCUCAGACUGAAACAUAGUUAUGAAGGAAUUUGCACACAAAUAAGAAAAUUGUAAAAUCAGUUCUAAAGGGACAGGCAGCCAAUGGCCCUCAGAAUAGCAGAGACGUCUUUGCUUUUACAGCUUUCCUGUAGAAAUCUGGCAACGGCAUUCUGAAGCAAUGAGCAAUUUGUGAAUAUAAAAGGCUGACUUGAACAUGCUAAAAUUCAUUUGGAUAGACCUGUGGAGUUCUUGAAUGGUUUAUGAAGUGAUGUGACCGGUGCAGGUAAUGGGAUUCUUGACUGUUUGAAGGAUAUUAUGGAUUCUUUGAAGUAUCAGGCGAUGAUUUGUGAAAUCAGUAGAGAGGUGACAGAAGCUCCUACACACACAGUGUUUAUUGGAGGUUAUAAAGAAUAGAAGAUUCUGCAACAAAUUUGAUUCAUUACUAACAUAACCUGAGAUGUUGGGAAAACGUCUGUUAACUUAUUUGUUAACGGUCGUAAAGCUUUGCAUUUCAGCCCACCAAAACAGGUGCCUAUAUAAGUUUCAGCACAAUCUUUUAAAUAAGCGACAGUGUGCAGCUUAUAUCAUGGUGUAUGCAAUGCUUGUGAUCUUAUCAUUUUGAAUAAAUGGAAACAUUUAAAAUUGAAGCAGUUUCAGAAUCAAAAGACAGAGCAGCAGCUAAAUAUGGGGGGGGGGAAUGAAGGGGUGUGAAUACUUUUGCAAGGCACAGUAUGUUUUGAAAAAUGUCUAAAGUGGACUGUCAACAACAUAACUAAUUCUCCUUCAUUUUGAACUGCGUAUCUACUAAUUCUACGAACCCUACUCUGAGAGUGUUUACAUAUACUUGCAAAGUUUCUGAUACUCAGUAUGUUGCGGAUCCAGCAAAAUAAAGCGUUAGAAGAUAUUAAGCAGUCUUAAUGCUUUCACAGAAGUAUUAACAGUCUACUAAUACUCUGUUUCAGUUGUUCACUUCAGACAUUCUACUAACAGUAACUUUGUAACUUCAUAUCAACUAGCAGUCAGUAAAGUGUUACCUGUCCAGAGUGGUCUCAUGGCAAGGCACUGAUUCAAUGUUGACAUUAUGGUAUUAGAUAUCCCAGGAGGCCUUUGGAUAUAUUGUGGGUUAAAUGAGGUCCUCCAGUUCUAGUACAUUGCAGGUUGGUGGUGAUGUAACGUAAACUCACUGUUUGAUUGGGACACAUUGCCCCGGUCCCCACUGUUGUAGCUGCUGCUGGUCAUUUGUUGCACUGUGGCCCUGCGGUCGCUGCGAACAACCUACGACAGAUAUCAGUGAGCUCUAAAUGGCACACGGCUGAAUGAGUUUGUCGUUUGGCCAUCUGUGCACCACUUUUGAUGCAUGCUCAUUACAGCAGCAUGUGCACAAACCACAAGGUGCACCAUUUCCGAGAUGAAGCUCAGCGGUGCUGUACCAUUAUAAUGUAUAUUGGUUGCUGGUGGCCUACAAAUUAUCUGUGGGCCAAAAACACUUUGGUUUUUUCAUCAACUAUAUAUAUAUAUUUUACUUUUAAAGGAUGUUCUGCAGAUAAAUUGGGUAUCAUCAGCAUAAAAUCUCUGGAACUAGAAACUAAAUCCUACAGCAAUGAUAAAAAUACAAAAUUCAUUUGACCUAUUUAACAUUUUCUGAAAACCCUACUUUUCCUGGAGGCCAACCUUCCAGCAGAAUUUAGGUCUAGCUCUAAAACAUACCUUAAAUUGGCUAAUCAGGGUCUUCAGAUUGACUGGAAACAAACCAGCAGAUGCUAUGUUAAAGAAUUAGCAGAUUAAACAUUUCGUGUUGUUAAUUUUGACAUAACACCUGUAAUGCAAAAUUACUAAAACUGUACCUAAAGGGGGAGUAACUAAUAUUUCACAAUACUAAUAUUUUUAGUCCCUGGUAAGCAAAUAUUCAAACAUCCUAGAUUCCAAAUGUUAAAAAAAGCAUGUCUAUCCCUUUAUAUUUGUACAUUUCUCUGUACAUUUGUUCUUGUGACACAUGGGAGCAAAAACGACUAAACACAUGGAAAGAAUGAGUUUAGCAUUUAUCUGUUUAUUUUCUUAUUUUAUAUGUAUUUAUAUUAUAUAUUUAUAUAUAGAUAUAUAGAAAUCUAGCUAUCAUACAAUGCUUUCACAGAAGAAGACUGACAGACUGGAUUAUGGCAACACAACAAUGACACUGAGUGAGCCACAGGCCAAACAAUGAGAGAGAAACACCAACACCAAACAAAAGAUACUUCUUUUCUUGACUAUUCACCGACCGCAGCUUUGAUAUCAAAACCGACCCGAGAAGAGUUCAGAUGCCCAGAGCUGGCAUGGUGAUGAGAGGCAUUGCCGGUGUUACUUGGUGGAGUUUUGGGUCGUUUCCCGUUUCCUCUUCCUGUCUGGUCCAGUGGCGCUCGAGUAUGCACACUAUUUGCUUACUGCAGCUGAUCACACAGAUAUACAAUUAUUCUACAAGAACUUUCACUGAACAGACUUAGCCAAAAGCAAAAAAAAACCAUCAUUUUGAAAAGGAAAAUGAACAGAAUUACAAUUAUUUGAAGAGGAAAAAAAAAUCGUCAUAAAUAUUCAGCCUGAAAUGAUCACCCAUACAGAUGCGUGAAGGUGUCAGGUGUCAGUUAGGGUGUGGCCUAUAUUAUGACAUCGCUGAGGAUGGCUUUGAGUCCCAUCUGUACAGAGGAGAAGCGUGCACAUGUCUUACAGUGAUAAAACGAGUUACGUUCUACUCCUCUUUUGUCAUUUAGCAUCAUCAAAAACUGUGUCAUUACUAAAAGCCCUACGAAUCAGGAAAUAUACAGAGAUGUACCACUACGCAGAUCUAAACUCAGAAACAUACCCUAUGCUAGAAUGCAAACGCUUGGCCAAGCCUGCGGUCUGAUUCGAUCUCGUAGUUAACAAACACUCAAGCGGGCAACAGUCGACUUUCUGUGUUUGUGCUAAUAAUCCAAAUGCACCACUAGUCAGGUAGAGAGCUAUAAAUGUGUCAACAGUCAACUAAUUUCAAAUUGCUCAUCAAGACUCCCUUCAAGCUGUUGCUCCAUCAUUGCAGUAGUUGA